rnacentral:rRNA from 1 species
UUUGGUUAAGUUAGAAAGGGCGCACGGUGGAUGCCUUGACACUAGGAGUCGAUGAAGGACGGGACUAACGCCGAUAUGCUUCGGGGAGCUGUAAGUAAGCUUUGAUCCGAAGAUUUCCGAAUGGGGAAACCCACUAUACGUAAUGGUAUGGUAUCCUUACCUGAAUACAUAGGGUAUGGAAGACAGACCCAGGGAACUGAAACAUCUAAGUACCUGGAGGAAGAGAAAGCAAAUGCGAUUUCCUGAGUAGCGGCGAGCGAAACGGAACAUAGCCCAAACCAAGAGGCUUGCCUCUUGGGGUUGUAGGACAUUCUAUACGGAGUUACAAAGGAACGAGGUAGACGAAGCGACCUGGAAAGGUCCGUCGUAGAGGGUAACAACCCCGUAGUCGAAACUUCGUUCUCUCUUGAAUGUAUCCUGAGUACGGCGGAACACGUGAAAUUCCGUCGGAAUCUGGGAGGACCAUCUCCCAAGGCUAAAUACUCCCUAGUGAUCGAUAGUGAACCAGUACCGUGAGGGAAAGGUGAAAAGCACCCCGGAAGGGGAGUGAAAGAGAUCCUGAAACCGUGUGCCUACAAAUAGUCAGAGCCCGUUAAUGGGUGAUGGCGUGCCUUUUGUAGAAUGAACCGGCGAGUUACGAUCCCGUGCAAGGUUAAGCUGAAGAGGCGGAGCCGCAGCGAAAGCGAGUCUGAAUAGGGCGUUUAGUACGUGGUCGUAGACCCGAAACCAGGUGAUCUACCCAUGUCCAGGGUGAAGUUCAGGUAACACUGAAUGGAGGCCCGAACCCACGCACGUUGAAAAGUGCGGGGAUGAGGUGUGGGUAGCGGAGAAAUUCCAAUCGAACCUGGAGAUAGCUGGUUCUCCCCGAAAUAGCUUUAGGGCUAGCCUUAAGUGUAAGAGUCUUGGAGGUAGAGCACUGAUUGAACUAGGGGUCCUCAUCGGAUUACCGAAUUCAGUCAAACUCCGAAUGCCAAUGACUUAUCCUUAGGAGU